AACAUUUCAUUGACAUUUUCAUGCUUAAACUUUACUAGCAUCGAUAUUUUUAGUAUAACCAAGCAUUUGUUGAAGUGAAAGGAGCACACAUCUGUAUUAUGCACCAUAUUCUUUCAAGUGGCAGUUGGCAGCCAGCACUCUUUAGCAUUUCCUAAAAGCAUACAAUUAUUAUUAUUUGGGGAAAAUGACCUAAUUCUUUCUUUAAAAGAACAAGGCUAAUGUUGUUUUCCUUCAAUUCUGUUUUCCUUCUCUCCUUCCUAUGACUUACGAUGAAAGUAUUCAUUGUGGCCAAUAUGAAUAUGAACUCAUUCACCCCUUAGAUAUUUAAUAGGCACCUGUUACAUGCCUGGUGCUCUGCUGUGCCUUAAGGUAGCCAGAAAAAACAAGACACUGCUCUUACUCUGAGAAACUGACAAUAUAGAGGAAAAGGUCGGGGGUGCAGGCGAUUGAGACAUGGCGUGGGACUACAGUGGUGGACAAAAGACGAGGCUGGCUGUCAGGAGCGUGCAGUUGUGUUGAUUAAAGGAUGUACUGAGAGUUAUCUAAGCUGGAAGACCUGUAUGCAUACUGCUCAUUAAAAUUCAGGUCUACAUACAAAAGGAAAGGUAACUCACUGUAUGGUAAUUUAAAAAUUAAGAUAUACAGUGUAGGAGAUGCUCAUGAACAGAGAUCUGAUGCCAAAGGGCAUCUUCAUACAACCAAAGACCACAGCAAUGGCAAGAUUACCUGGAUCUGAAAGCAUUGUCAAGAAAAAGCACAGAGUAUACUCAUGUUCUUGACUCAAAAAUGAUUUUGGGCCCCUUAAAAAAGCGGAAGGGCAGCAAGCAGUUCCCAGUGAGAGCCCACGGCUGCUCCUGACACCCACAGCUCCGACGACUCAAAGGCCACUCCUCUUACUCUCUGCCCAGGUUUCUUAAUUUUCCCCCAGACAGAGCCACAGUUCACAGCAAUGGCACGGACACAAUGGAAUCCUUAGAAGCCAUCUCUCACUGAAGAAUCAAAGCUCUCCAGCUUAUGCCUCAAUGAACAUCGACUUCCUCUGACUGGUGAGCAGCUUUUGGCUGGAUGUCCAAAGGACAACAAGGCACCUCAGGCCACAGCUCUUUAGUAAGCUACAAAGGACCACUGAAGAGAUUCUUUGGAUGUGUGCUAUUGUGGGAAGCACCGAGGUGAGACGACAAGAGCAUCCACUCAGGAAAGAGGAAGAAGCCAGGGAUACAUGGCUUGAGCAACGCAGUGUCAGCAGUUCAAGGUUCAGAACAACACUAAGAAGCAAUGGUGACUGCUAGAGGGAGCAGUGGAAAUACUGCCAAGUGCUACGAGCAGGGGCGGCUGUGCACAGAGGGAAUAAGCCGAGACAUCGUGAGGCUAGUUCCUGACAGUUCGAGACUCACACACGUCUAACCACUAUACAACAUAGCAUCAGGACUAAAAGGCAUACCAGGAGAAACCGCCAGCUUCUGACUGCCCCAUGGUUUGUCUACAACCUCAGAGGUGUCAUCCUAUCCUUCCUGCACAGGUCCUAGGAGGCCCCUUUGUCACCUGGAACUGUAUACCCACUCCCUACUAUUGCUACCGGCACUUGCACAACAGCACUGAGCGCUGGGUUCUGUGGGAAGAGACCCUUUCUAUGACUGGUUGGUUGCAGGUUUUACAUCACAUGAGGUGCUGAGGUCAAUCAAGGUCGGCAGUUGUGACCUCCAGGUCACUGCAAAGGUCUCAGCAUCCUUUCUCUUCCCAUUUGCAUUUCUGUUCUCCAGUUUAUACACCAGAAGAAAAGGGGUCUAGUGAUGCCCGAAGCUGAACUGUACAGCUUAAUGGCCAGAAACCAGACUUGUCACAUGUAAUCAAAUCAGCGUAGUGUUGGUGACAUAGUUAAGACAGUUGAAAAAUCAGUUGCUGUUCCAAGUUCUAAUUUUCAAGUUAUUGUUGGGGCUGAGACUUCUCUCACCUUGCAGCUUUUAUUUUGGAAGAACUCCAAAGCACACUUUUAGUCAUAUUUGAGUAAUUGAAA
rnacentral:lncRNA from 1 species